rnacentral:rRNA from 1 species
UACGUAGGGUCCGAGCGUUGUCCGGAAUUAUUGGGCGUAAAGGGCUCGUAGGCGGUCUGUCGCGUCGGGAGUGAAAACUUACAGCUUAACUGUGAGCGUGCUUUCGAUACGGGCAGACUUGAGGCAUUCAGGGGAGAACGGAAUUCCUGGUGUAGCGGUGAAAUGCGCAGAUAUCAGGAGGAACACCGGUGGCGAAGGCGGUUCUCUGGGAAUGUCCUGACGCUGAGGAGCGAAAGCGUGGGGAGCGAACAGG